rnacentral:rRNA from 1 species
GACGAACGCUGGCGGCGUGCUUAACACAUGCAAGUCGAACGGAAAGGCCCUGCUUUUGUGGGUUGCUCGAUUGGCGAACGGGUGAGUAACACGUGAGUAACCUGCCCUUGACUUUGGGAUAACUUCAGGAAACUGGGGCUAAUAACGGAUAGGAGCUCCUGCUGCAUGGUGGGGGUUGGAAAGUUUCGGCUGUUGGGGAUGGACUCGCGGCUUAUCAGCUUGUUGGUGAGGUAGUGGCUUACCAAGGCUUUGACGGGUAGCCGGCCUGAGAGGGUGACCGGCCACAGUGGGACUGAGAUACGGGCCAGACUGCUACGGGAGGCAGCAGUGGGGAAUAUUGCACAAUGGGCGGAAGUCUGAUGCAGAAACGCCGCGUGCGGGAUGACGGCCUUCGGGUUGUAAACCGAUUUCGACUGUGACGAAGCGUGAGUGACGGUAAUGGGUAAAGAAGCACCGGCUAACUACGUG